GACGAACGCUGGCGGCGUGCCUAACACAUGCAAGUCGAACGGAGAUGCCGAGGUAGCUUGCUACAUUGGUAUCUUAGUGGCGGACGGGUGAGUAACACGUGGGCAACCUGCCCCAAAGAGGGGGAUAACACCGAGAAAUCGGUGCUAAUACCGCAUAAUAUUAGAGCUUCGCAUGGAGCUUUAAUCAAAGGAGCAAUCCGCUUUGGGAUGGGCCCGCGUCUGAUUAGCUAGUUGGUGAGGUAAUGGCUCACCAAGGCGACGAUCAGUAGCCGAUCUGAGAGGAUGACCGGCCACACUGGAACUGAGACACGGUCCAGACUCCUACGGGAGGCAGCAGUGGGGAAUAUUGCACAAUGGGGGAAACCCUGAUGCAGCAACGCCGCGUGGAGGAAGAAGGUCUUCGGAUUGUAAACUCCUGUCUUCUGGGACGAAGUAUGACGGUACCAGAGGAGGAAGCCACGGCUAACUACGUGCCAGCAGCCGAC
rnacentral:rRNA from 1 species